ensembl:snRNA U1 U1 spliceosomal RNA
UUUCUUACCUGACAGAGGAGAUGCCAUGAUUAUAAAGGAGAUUUGUCCAGAGCAGGACUCAGCCAUUGCACUUUGUCUGUGCUAAUCUUUGUGAAAUCCCUAAAUGCAGAAUGAAUCUUGACUGCAUUAGAUUUUUGUGUAUUGUUUUAGGUGGACAGUG